UAUUCCAACUAUUUAUUCUAAGCAAUGCUUUUACAUUGACAGAAGAGGCCUACUAUGCUGAGGAGGAAGUGCAUAUUACUGUUCACGAAGAAGUGCCACCAGUUAAAGUGCCAGAGGUCCGGAAGAGACCUGAACCAGCAAAGAAAGAACCAGUUGCUCCUCCCAAGAAAGUGGAAGCCCCUCCAG